rnacentral:lncRNA from 10 species
UCCAGCCUGAGCGACAGAGUGAGACUCUGUCUCAAAGAAAAAAAAAAAAAAAAGAAUAUUAAUAGCAUUUGUCAAUUUUUCCUUUUGUUGCAAUUGCUUUUGGUGAUUUUGUCAUGAAAUCUUUGCCCAUGCCUUUGUCCUGAAUGGUAUUGUCAGACUAUGGUUUCUAACAAGUGAGAUGAUGGAACCUAUAAAUGGUAAAAAAUUUAUUAGGGAAUAAUUUUCAGUGACAACAAUAUGUAUAUCUUACAUUAAGGAGUGACAGUGAUAGCAGAGAUUAUGAAACUAAUAAACAGAAAGCAGUAUGGUAUAUUAAUUAAGGAACUGGGCUUUGAUACACGUGCUAUGGUGGUAUGCUGCACCCAUCAACCGCUCAUCUACAUUAGGUAUUUCUCCUAAUGCUAUCCCUCCCCUAGCUCCCCACCCCCUGACAGGCCCAGGUGUGUGAUGUUCCCUUCCCUGUUUUGUAGUAUUCUCUGAUGGUAGUUUGUAUUUCUGUGGGAUCGGUGGUGAUAUCCCCUUUAUCAUUGUUUAUUGCGUCUGUUUGAUUCUUCUCUCUUUUUUUCUUUAUUAGUCUUGCUAGCAGUCU